rnacentral:rRNA from 1 species
GACGAACGCUGGCGGCGUGCUUAACACAUGCAAGUCGAACGGAAAGGCCCGGCUUUUGUGGGGUGCUCGAGUGGCGAACGGGUGAGUAACACGUGAGUAACCUGCCCUUGACUUUGGGAGAACAUCAGGAAACUGGGGCUAAUACCGGAUAGGAGCUCCUGCUGCAUGGUGGGGGUUGGAAAGUGUCGGCGGUUGGGGAAGGACUCGCGGCUUAUCAGCUUGUUGGGGGGGUAGGGGCUUACCAAGGCUUUGACGGGUAGCCGGCCUGAGAGGGUGACCGGCCACAUUGGGACUGAGAUACGGCCCAGUCUCCUACGGGAGGCAGUAGUGGGGAAUAUUGCGCAAUGGGCGGAAGCCUGAUGCAGCAACGCCGCGUGCGGGAUGACGGCCUUCGGGUUGUAAACCGCUUUCGCCUGUGACGAAGCGUGAGUGACGGUAAUGGGUAAAGAAGCACCGGCUAACUACGUG